ensembl:misc_RNA
UUGACAGCCCUGGAGCCUGAAGUCUUUUAUUUAGCCAUUGACAAAGUACAGCAUAGGGAGCAGAAGUGCAGCCUCCCCAAUUUGCUCCACCAGUAUGUAUCACACCUGUCUUAAAGGAACCAUCUGUAGGCGUGAGAGACUAGCUCAGUCUCUGUGCCCAUUUAUUGAUUAUUAAAU